rnacentral:rRNA from 1 species
AAACCAACAGGGAUUGCCUCAGUAACGGCGAGUGAAGCGGCAAAAGCUCAAAUUUGAAACCUUUCAGGAUUGUAAUUUGAAGAUGGCAUCAAAAAAAGGCUGAAAACUUAUGUUCCUUGGAACAGGACGUCACAGAGGGUGAGAAUCCCGUGCAGUUCAACGCCCUACCUUUCUUGCCAUCAAAGAGUCGAGUUGUUUGGGAAUGCAGCUCAAAGUGGGUGGUAAAUUCCAUCUAAAGCUAAAUACUGGCGAGAGACCGAUAGCGAACAAGUACCGUGAGGGAAAGAUGAAAAGCACUUUGAAAAGAGAGUGAAACAGUACGUGAAAUUGUUGAAAGGGAAGGGCAUGAAGAUAGAUUGUGAGGGUCGUGGGGAGUGGAGAAAAAAUCACGUGGGAACGUGGCCUUCGGGUGUUAUAUCCCACCACAUUUCUCCCACCCCCCACGAGGACCGCUUUUAGGACCCUCACGUAAUAUCUCCACGCCGC